AUUGAACGCUGGCGGCAGGCCUAACACAUGCAAGUCGAACGAGUGGCGGACGGGUGAGUAAUGUCUGGGAAACUGCCUGAUGGAGGGGGAAAACUACUGGAAACGGUAGCUAAUACCGCAUACCAUCAGAUGUGCCCAGGUGGGAGUAGCUAGUUGGGGGGGUAAAGGCUCACCAAGGCGACGAUCCCUAGCUGGUCUGAGAGGAUGAGCGGCCACAAGGGAACUGAGACACGGUCCAGACUCCUACGGGAGGCAGCAGUGGGGAAUAUUGGGCAAUGGGCGAAAGCCUGAUGGAGCAAUGCCGCGGGUAUGAAGAAGGUCUUCGGGUUGUAAAGUACUUUCAUCGGGGAGGCGUUACCUGAAGAGAAAGCCCCGGCUAACUCCGUGCCAGCAGCCGCGGUAAUUC
rnacentral:rRNA from 1 species